CCUACGGGAGGCAGCAGUGGGGAAUUUUGCGCAAUGGGGGAAACCCUGACGCAGCAACGCCGCGUGGAGGAUGAAGUCCCUUGGGACGUAAACUCCUUUCGAUCGGGACGAUUAUGACGGUACCGAGAGAAGAAGCCCCGGCUAACUUCGUGCCAGCAGCCGCGGUAAU
rnacentral:rRNA from 1 species